rnacentral:sRNA from 1 species
UGGCAGUUUGAACACAUGACAACCACUGAGGGAAGUGUUUUCACAGAGAGGCGGUAGCAGCCACACGUUCACUGGUCAGGUCUGCAGCUUCUGACAGCCUGUGUGGGUUUGUUUUUGUCUCCUGUCCAGACUUGUGUUUGCUCAAACCAAUUCUUGGUGCAAAGGGGUAUCCAUGAUGCCUUUGUAAAAGCAUUCGCCGAGGCCAUGAAGAAGAACCUGCGCGUAGGUAAUGGAUUUGAGGAAGGAACUACUCAGGGCCCAUUAAUUAAUGAAAAAGCGGUAGAAAAGGUGGAGAAACAGGUGAAUGAUGCCGUUUCUAAAGGUGCCACCGUUGUGACAGGUGGAAAACGACACCAACUUGGAAAAAAUUUCUUUGAGCCUACCCUGCUGUGCAAUGUCACCCAGGACAUGCUGUGCACUCAUGAAGAGACUUUCGGGCCUCUGGCACCAGUUAUCAAGUUCGAUACAGAGGAGGAGGCUAUAGCAAUCGCUAACGCAGCUGACGUUGGGUUAGCAGGUUAUUUUUACUCUCAAGACCCAGCCCAGAUCUGGAGAGUGGCAGAGCAGCUGGAAGUGGGCAUGGUUGGCGUCAACGAAGGAUUAAUUUCCUCCGUGGAGUGCCCUUUUGGUGGAGUGAAGCAGUCCGGCCUUGGGCGAGAGGGGUCCAAGUAUGGCAUUGAUGAGUAUCUGGAACUCAAGUAUGUGUGUUACGGGGGCUUGUAGGAUUCUUUGGUUCUUUAAAAAAAUUUAAAAGGAGACUUACCUACAUAUAUAGGUACAUGCCAUCCAUUAUUUUAAAUAAACUAAUAGGUUUUCAGAAUUAUGAAUUUUUCAGAACUCAUCCAGUCCUUGUAAUCUUAAACAGAUGCAAAUCCUACCCCUGCCCUUAAUGUAACUAGGGACCAAUAUGUGCCACGUGCCUGUGGCUGCAGACUCCCAGAGAACCAGCACUGGGUUUACAGAAUGAGGCCCUGGCUCCCCACCACAGCCCCAGCUGCCUCAGAGCAGGCACAGCACAAGGCAGGCCCAGCCCCAUGGGCCGUCACAAAGGCUUGAUCACUGCCUGGG